UACGGAGGGUGCGAGCGUUGUCCGGAAUCAUUGGGCGUAAAGGGCGCGUAGGUGGCGGGACAAGCGUGCGGUGAAAGCCUGGGGCUCACCCCGGGUCGGCCGUGCGAACUGUUUUGCUUGAGCACUGUAGAGGCAGGCGGAAUUCCGGGUGUAGCGGUGGAAUGCGUAGAGAUCCGGAAGAACACCGGUGGCGAAGGCGGCCUGCUGGGCAGUAGCUGACACUGAGGCGCGACAGCGUGGGGAGCAAACAGG
rnacentral:rRNA from 1 species